rnacentral:lncRNA from 1 species
AAAACUUCAUGGACUUUUAUCUUUAAAGUAAAUGAAAAUAAUCACAGGUGUAUCAUAUAAUAUAAAUCUAACUCUAGUUCACAUGACGAUAUUAAAUAACCUCUAAUCUUGGUUGUUAGUGCCAUCUCUCCAUUCUCAUAUUUUCCACUCCUCUUCUGCCUUAUUCAUGAGGGUGGAAGCCUCCUUCUGUAUUUUCUUAAGGUGCUGUUAGCACCUUACCUGGGCCAAUCAGUUAACAUCUGGACAGGUCAUUGAUGCUGUAUGUAGAACAGUUGAUGGGAACAUAGUAAAGGCCGUCUUUUCAGAGGUAUUCCCAGGGUUAAGGGAGCCAAUGGGAGAGUGUAGAGGGCUAGAGACUAGCAGCAUCAGGAAUUACUUCUGCAGGAGCACGGGACGAUAGGGAAAUGUCACUAGUAAAUGUUGAGGACUGGAGUCACAAGAGAAGAACACCAGAAGGUAAGGGGCUGCUGUCUUCCAGAACAUAUACAGCCAAAUUGCUGCCAUUCGCUAGAUGUUAACCUAAGGUCCAGGGCAAAACAACCAAGCACACACUUGGCCCAUUUCCAAACCAUUGCAAUGUCUUGCUGGGGACCAACAGUGACUCAAUUAGAAGCUAGAAAAAAUGGAAACCACUGUUUCAGUCCACAGUACUAGUCUCCCAGGCAUGGCUCAGGGUGGAGAAGAGAGAGUAUAAGUAUAAAAUAACAUAAUAAUGAUAAAAAUAUAUAACCACGAUAAGAUAAAUACAAACAAGGCUGGACUAUGGUGUUUCCUUUGAGCACUCAUUCUCCUAAGAAGUUAGCAGACCCUUUCCAAUGGCUUUUUAAAAAUCACUUAUGGACUGGUGAGAUGGCUCAGUGGGUAAGAGCACUGACUGCUCUUCCAACGGUCAUGAGUUCAAACCCCAGUAACCACAUGGUGGCUCACAACCACCCAUAAUGAGAUCUGACGCUCUCUUCUGGUGUGUCUGAAGACAGCUACAGAGUACUUAUGUAUAAUAAACAAAUAAAUAAAUCUAAGAAAAAAAUCACUUAUAUUCAGUUUAUUAUUCCUUGAUGUAUAAAUAUAAUAUGUCAUCCUGCAGAUGUACAAUAAUGUAGAAUCUCAAUGACAUUGGAUUCCAGAAGUCUUUUUAUUGCCUCAGAGCCCAGGAAUAAUUCUCUUCCCACACAGUCUACCAUUGGUAUCUACAGGGUUUUGGUCCUAGACUCCGCAGAAGUGCCAAAGCUCACAGAUGUGCAAACUUCUUAUGCAAAAUGGCUAAGCAUUUGUGUCCAACGUACAUAUAUAAUCCUGUGUACUUUAAUCUCUAGAUUAAUUAUAACAGGUGAUAUUAUGUAAGUGCUGUGAUAACAGUUGCUCCACAUUGUUGUUUGUGGAAUAGUGACUAGAAGGCAAGCCUGCACAGGUCAGGUCAAGCACACCUGCCAUUAACUAAUGGCAUAGUCAAGAAGGACACAGGGUAGACAAGAGCUUAAUAGUGAGAGCUGAGGGUGUUCUAGGAUCUUUGAAAUGGUAGGAGACUGUCUCUGCCUAUGUGUCCCUUUCAGCUGGUGUAGGGAUUGGCAUUUGACAAUUCAAGCAAAAAUUCAAGUUUUGCUUUUCUUCCCCCUUUUCUGAGAUUAAGAAUAUUUCUGAUUUGUGGUAAGUUGAAAACAUGUAUAGUGUAACCAGGGAUAUGGAAGGGCAAAUGUUCUACAUACAUUUGUAAGUUGGUAGAACAAAAUGCAGAAGACAGAAUCCAGACUAUUUUCUUUAUUAGUAUGUUUUUUAAACUUUCAGGAAUGUGAACAUUUAUCACGGUUCCAUGAGUGUAAUGGUUAAUCUCAAUAGUCAACUUGAUGACGUCUAGAAUUCCCUGGAAUAUGGGCCUCUAAACAUGUAUGUGUGGGAGUUAUCUUGAUUAGGUUAAUUGAAAUGGGAAGACCCAGCCACUGUGGGUAGCACCAUUCCCUGGGCUGAGAACCUGUACUGU